UACAGAGGUCCCGAGCGUUGUUCGGAUUCACUGGGCGUAAAGGGUGCGUAGGCGGUUCUGAAGGUCUGAUGUGAAAUCUCCGGGCCCAACCCGGAAAUGGCAUUAGAAACUACAGGGCUAGAGGCUUGGAGGGGGAACUGGAAUUCUCGGUGUAGCAGUGAAAUGCGUAGAGAUCGAGAGGAACACCAGUGGCGAAGGCGAGUUCCUGGACAAGUCCUGACGCUGAGGCGCGAAAGCUAGGGGAGCAAACGGG
rnacentral:rRNA from 1 species